rnacentral:misc_RNA from 1 species
AUUAUAACAAGCCUUCGUUUAUUUCAACAAACCAUUAGCAUUCGUUUUUUCGUCAUAAGCAAAACGUGCAGAAUAUAUCGUUGAAACGUGUAGAAGAUAUUAGUAAACGGUAUUUGCUCGUUCUGUAUAUAAUAGCAAGCUCUGGCUGCCAAAAAUCGUCUUUCGAAACUCUGGAGCCAGCCGAAUCAACCAUAGACACCGAACAACCGCCCAAGUCGUGGCAUGCGUGCGUGAACCGCGGCACAAGCGUAGCACACGAGCAGCACACGCACAGCACGCAGCUUUUUCCAUCCCUCUAACCAACGCACAUGCCCCCGCGUCCAUCUCGAUCAAAAGGAGACCCCGACGAAGGCAAACGGGCGAAGAGAAGAAUGGGCCCGAUUCAAGGCGGCUAUACGACACACUUGUGAGGCUUUUCUGGCCCCUCGCCACGGGGUGGAUAGUCGUGCAGGAGGGGAAAUGGAAGGCCUGCGAGGCCCUUCGUCAGUUCUGGCCGUUUCAACACGGGAAGACUCCGAUCGACCGGUUCCCACGAAACGGAGACACACCACCUGUGCGUCGGAAUGAGGACGAACAACCCUCCGUGCAAACGAGCAAUCGUCGAGGGGACGUGUCAUGAUUUUCGAGCCUAAUUUCGGCGACGCACCCGGCUUACACCAGGGUGGGGGCGUUAAAUCAUUCGCUACGGGUUACAAGAUUCGCCCCUUUACUUCUAUUCAAGCUGUUGCACAGGGUUUCACGUGAUUGGGACAAUCGCGGAGAAAGAACGUUCUGUUUCCCUUCGAUUUUU